AGAGUUUGAUCAUGGCUCAGGAUAAACGCUGGCGGCGUGCAUAAAACAUGCAAGUCGAACGGGUGGCUUCGGCCACCAGUGGCGGACGGCUGAGUAACACGUAAGUGACCUACCCUUUAGUGGGGAAUAACUGCUCGAAAGAGUGGCUAAUACCGCAUGUACUCGUUUUUUCAUUGAGGCGAGCAAAGCCGUGAGGCGCUAGAGGAUGGGCUUGCGGCCGAUUAGCUAGUUGGUGGGGUAACGGCCUACCAAGGCGAUGAUCGGUAGCUGGUCUGAGAGGAUGAUCAGCCAGACUGGGACUGCGAAACGGCCCAGACUCCUACGGGAGGCAGCAGUUAGGAAUUUUGCGCAAUGGACGAAAGUCUGACGCAGCAACGCCGCGUGAGGGACGAAGGUUUUCGGAUCGUAAACCUCUUUUCCAGGGGAAGAUAAUGACGGUACCCUGGGAAUAAGCCCCGGCUAACUACGUGCCAGCAGCCGCGGUAAUACGUAGGGGGCGAGCGUUGUCCGGAUUUAUUGGGCGUAAAGAGCGCGUAGGUGGUCUUUCAAGUCGUGCGUGAAAUACUCUGGCUCAACUGGAGUGGGCCGUGCGAUACUGGAGGGCUUGAGGCCGGAAGAGGGAAGUGGAAUUCCCGGUGUAGUGGUGGAAUGCGUAGAUAUCGGGAGGAACACCAGUGGCGAAGGCGGCUUCCUGGUCCGGUCCUGACGCUGAGGCGCGAAAGCGUGGGGAGCGAACUGAAUUAGAUACUCAGGUAGUCCACGCUGUAAACGAUGGAUGCUAGGUGUCGGGGGUAUCGACCCCCUCGGUGCCGGAGCUAACGCAUUAAGCAUCCCGCCUGGGGAGUACGGCCGCAAGGCUAAAACUCAAAGGAAUUGACGG
rnacentral:rRNA from 1 species